rnacentral:rRNA from 1 species
UACGUAGGGGGCGAGCGUUAUCCGGAUUUAUUGGGCGUAAAGCGCGCGCAGGCGGUCAGGUAAGUCGGAUGUGAAAGGCUACGGCUCAACCGUAGAGCGGCAUCCGAAACUGCUUGACUUGAGUGCGGGAGAGGAGAGUGGAAUUCCCGGUGUAGCGGUGGAAUGCGUAGAGAUCGGGAGGAACACCAGUGGCGAAGGCGACUCUCUGGACUGUAACUGACGCUGAGGCGCGAAAGCGUGGGGAGCAAACAGGAUUAGAUACCCUGGUAGUCCACGCCGUAAACGAUGAGUGCUAGGUGUUGGGGGGACCCCCCUCAGUGCCGUAGGUAACCCAAUAAGCACUCCGCCUGGGGAGUACGGUCGCAAGACUGAA